UAGGGAAUCUUCGGCAAUGGACGGAAGUCUGACCGAGCAACGCCGCGUGAGUGAAGAAGGUUUUCGGAUCGUAAAGCUCUGUUGUAAGAGAAGAACGAGUGUGAGAGUGGAAAGUUCACACUGUGACGGUAUCUUACCAGAAAGGGACGGCUAACUACGUGCCAGCAGCCGCGGUAAUACGUAGGUCCCGAGCGUUGUCCGGAUUUAUUGGGCGUAAAGCGAGCGCAGGCGGUUAGAUAAGUCUGAAGUUAAAGGCUGUGGCUUAACCAUAGUAGGCUUUGGAAACUGUUUAACUUGAGUGCAAGAGGGGAGAGUGGAAUUCCAUGUGUAGCGGUGAAAUGCGUAGAUAUAUGGAGGAACACCGGUGGCGAAAGCGGCUCUCUGGCUUGUAACUGACGCUGAGGCUCGAAAGCGUGGGGAGCAAACAGGAUUAGAUACCCUGGUAGUCCACGCCGUAAACGAUGAGUGCUAGAUGUUAGACCCUUUCCGGGGUUUAGUGCCGCAGCUAACGCAUUAAGCACUCCGCCUGGGGAGUACGACCGCAAGGUUG
rnacentral:rRNA from 1 species